CACGAACUGCUUUCGGUAUGCUUAACACAUGCAAGUUGGAACGGAUUAAUUUAGGGCUUGCUCUAAAUUAGUUAGUAGCAGACGGCGUGAGUAACACGUGGGAAUCUGCCCAUCAAGUACGGAAUAACAUUUAGAAAUAGAUGCUAAUACCGUAUAUUCAUCUUCGGAGGAAAGAUUUAUCGCUGAUGGAUGAGCCCGCGUCAGAUUAGGUAGUUGGUAGGGUAAUGGCCUACCAAGCCAACGAUCUGUAGCUGGUCUGAGAGGAUGAUCAGCCACACUGGGACUGCAAGACACGGCCCAGACUCCUACGGGAGGCAGCAGUGGGGAAUAUUGGACAAUGGGCGAAAGCCUGAUCCAGCAAUACCGAGUGGGUGACGAAGGCCUUAGGGUUGUAAAGCCCUUCUUCAGCAGGGAAGAUAAUGACGGUACCUGACCAAGACAAGCCGCCGGCUAACUCCGUGCCAGCAGCCGCGGUAAGACGGAGGGGGCUAGCGUUGUUCGGAAUUACUGGGCGUAAAGAGUGCGUAGGCGGUUUAGUAAGUUGGAAGUGAAAGCCCGAGGCUUAACCUCGGAACUGCUUUCAAAACUACUAAUCUAGAGUGUAGUAGGGGAUGAUGGAUAUUCCUAGUGUAGAGGUGAAAUUCUUAGAUAUUAGGAGGAACACCGGUGGCGAAGGCGGUCAUCUCAGGCUACAACUGACGCUGAUGCACGAAAGCGUGGGAGAGCAAUACAGGAUUAGAUACCCUGGUAGUCCACGCCGUAAACGAUGAGUGCUAGAUAUCGGGAGAAAUUCUUUCGGUUUCGUAGCUAACGCAUUAAGCACUCCGCCUGGGGAGUACGGUCGCAAGAUUAAAACUCAAAGGAAUUGACGGGGGCUCGCACAAGCGGUGGAGCAUGCGGUUUAAUUCGAUGUUACGCGAAUAAUACCUUACCAACCCUUGACAUGGUGGUCGCGGGAAGCAGAGAUGCAUCCCUUGCAGUUCGGCUGGACCACACCACAGGUGUUGCAUGGCUGGUCGUCAGCUUCGUGUCGUGAGCAUGUUGGGUUAAGUCUCACGCAACUAGCGCAACCCUCAUUCUUAUAUUGCCAGCGGGUAAUGCCGGGAACUAUAAGGAAACUGCCGGUGAUAAGCCGGAGGAAGGUGGGCGACGAUGUCAAGUCAUCAUGGCCCUUAUGGGUUGGGCUACACGCGUGCUACAAUGGUAUACCACAGAGGGAAGCAAUACGGUAACGUGGAGCAAAUCCCUAAAAGAUAUCUCAGUUCGGAUUGUUCUCUGCAACUCGAGAACAUGAAGUUGGAAUCGCUAGUAAUCGCGGAUCAGCAUGCCGCGGUGAAUACGUUCUCGGGUCCUUAGUACACACUGCCCGUCACGCCAUGGGAGUUGGUUUCUACCUGAAAGGUGGUGAGCUAACGUAAGAGGCAGCCAACCACGGUAAAAUUAGCGACUGGG
rnacentral:rRNA from 1 species